UAGACAGGAGGAAAAGAAAUGAAAAUAAUGUAAAUAAAUACAAUUAUGUUCAAAAGAUCUCUCUAGUCGAAAAAGUUUAGGCGCCAAAAAAUUCUAACCACCGCACUUUGUGUCGUCAACGUUUAUUUUUUGUUUCGUUUUUUUUCGAUUUCGAUAAUUUGUAUUCGUUGUUAAAAUUUUAUUUUUCCCCUCAAAUAAAGUUUAAUUUGUUCUUUUUUUGGAU
rnacentral:lncRNA from 1 species